rnacentral:rRNA from 1 species
GAUGAACGCUGGCGGCGUGCCUAAUACAUGCAAGUCGAGCGAACAGACGAGGAGCUUGCUCCUCUGACGUUAGCGGCGGACGGGUGAGUAACACGUGGAUAACCUACCUAUAAGACUGGGAUAACUUCGGGAAACCGGAGCUAAUACCGGAUAAUAUAUUGAACCGCAUGGUUCAAUAGUGAAAGACGGUUUUGCUGUCACUUAUAGAUGGAUCCGCGCCGCAUUAGCUAGUUGGUAAGGUAACGGCUUACCAAGGCAACGAUGCGUAGCCGACCUGAGAGGGUGAUCGGCCACACUGGAACUGAGACACGGUCCAGACUCCUACGGGAGGCAGCAGUAGGGAAUCUUCCGCAAUGGGCGAAAGCUUGACGGAGCAGCGCCGCGUGAGUGAUGAAGGUCUUCGGAACGUAAAACUCUGUUAUUAGGGAAGAACAAAUGUGUAAGUAACUAUGCACGUCUUGACGGUACCUAAUCAGAAAGCCACGGCUAACUACGUG